rnacentral:snRNA from 1 species
AUGCUUGCUUCGGCAGUAUAUAUACUAAAAUUGGAACAAUAUAGACAAGAUUAGCAUGGCCCCUGCAU